GCCAGGUGUGGUGGUGUACACCUGUAAUCCCAGCGGUGUGAGAGGCUGAGGCAGGAGGAUCAUGAGUUCAAAGCCAGCCUCAGCAAAAAGCAAGGUGCUAAGCAACUCAGUGAGACCCUGUCUCUA
rnacentral:sRNA from 1 species